rnacentral:lncRNA from 1 species
GACUCUUAGUUGCUAGGUUGGUACUCUUUCCGGAAGUGGUUGUUGGCCGCUGCAGAGCAACACCCCGGCGUCCCUGGAAGCGGGGAGCCGGGGUGGUACUGGGGAAGCUGCACGGACCCGGGAGCGGUCGUCCAGUGCCUCCCGGGGCGGGGGGGCAGUUCAUUUUGAGAGAGGGAGAGAAUCUCAAGCAGGCUCUGACCUGCCAGCACGGAGCCCGAUGAGGGGCUUGAACUCAGACACCGAGGAUCACGACCUGAGCCGAAACGAGUCGGACGCUUAACUGAGCCACCGAGGCGCCCCUGGGAAAACAAUUUCUACCUAUUUGAGAGGAGGAGGACGUAGGUGUUCGAGCCCAUACCAACCAUGGCCGGGAGACCCAUCCGCAUAGGAGACCAGCUGGUUCUGGAGGAGGAUUAUGAUGAGACCUACAUCCCCAGUGAGCAAGAAAUUCUUGAAUUUGCCAGAGAGAUUGGUAUUGAUCCCGUCAAGGAGCCGGAACUGAUGUGGCUGGCGCGAGAGGGCAUUGUGGCCCCACUGCCCGUGGAGUGGAAGCCCUGCCAGGACAUCACAGGUGAUAUUUACUAUUUCAACUUUGCCAAUGGGCAGUCCACGUGGGACCAUCCAUGUGACGAGCACUAUCGGAACUUGGUGAUCCAAGAGCGGAGGAAGCUGUCAACUCCAGGAGCCGUUAACAAGAAAGACAAGAAAAAGAAGAAGGAAAAGAAAGACAAGAAGGACAAAGAGACCUCCAAAAGUCUGCUGGCCCCGGGCUCCUCAUUAGCCCCAGUCCACGUCCCUCUUGGGGGCCUGGCUCCCCUAAGAGGCCUUGUGGAUGCCCCGGCCUCUGCUCUUCGUGGAUCGCAAAGCGUGAGCCUGGGGAGCUCAGCGGAAUCUGGUCAGCUUGGAGAACUCACGCUGCCUCCACAGGGUCUCAAGACUUCUGCUUACACAAAGGGUCUCUUGGGCUCCAUCCACGAGGACAAGAAAGCCCUCAGCCUCUUGGCUUUAGGGGAGGAGACCAACGAGGAGGAUGAGGCAGAGAGUGACAACCAGAGUGUCCGCAGCUCAAGUGAGCUUCUUAAGAACCUGCACCUGGACAUUGGGGCGCUGGGGGGUGAUUUUGAGUAUGAGGAGUCUCCAAGAACAAGCCAGCCAGAGGAGAAGAAGGAUGCUUCUCUGGAUUCAGAGGCUGCCGGGCCCCCCACUCCCGGCAAGCUCUUCAGCCAGGAUGCAGACAGCAGUCUGAGCAGUGCCGAUGGCACAGGGCAGCAGGGAAGAGGGGCGAGCGCGUGGCUCCUGGAGAAAGAAAAGGAUGAGAAGAGUGAUUCAGGAAUACCCAGGAGUGGGGUGGACCCUGGGGGCAGUCAGCCUGCCAAAGCCAACAAAGAGGAGGCCCCAGAGGCCCCAGCGGAUGUAGGAGAGGAGGGUUCCCGGAAGGGAGAGGCGGAAGGAGGCGCCGAAGGAGGCAGGAGGCGGAAGGAGGAGCCCAAGGAGGAAGCCUCUGUCCAGAAAGAGAGCAGAUCGGACGCCAGCGAGGUAAGGCCCCUGUCCCUUGGGAACGGGAUCUCAGAGCACCUGAUGGAUGUUGACGUGCUUUCCCCAGUCCACCGGGAGGGGAGUCUCUCUGGAUGCUGGGUAACCCGAGCUGAGCCCUGCUUGUCCUCUCCUCCACUUGUGCCUGGGAGGCGGCUCCAGAGUCCCCUUCCGAGCCAGGCCACCGAAGAAGGGCCUCCCGAGGCCUCUGAGGGGCAGCCUGAGCAGAAGCGGGCAGAGGAGCCCGGGGAGGACUCUGCAGGCAGCUCCAUCCCUGCCGGUUCCCUGAGGAGUUCCCUGAAGGCGCAGCUGCGGAAGGCCACCGAGGAAGAGGAGACUCGGAUGAGAGAGGAGGAAAGCCGGCGGCUGUCCCAGCUCCUGGCCCAGGUGCAGUCCCAUGUGGAAGCAGAUGAGAGCCAGAUCAGGGCCGAGCAGGAGGCUUCCCUGCAGAGGCUGAGAGAAGAGUCGGAGUCUCUCCAGAAGGCCGAGAGGGCCAGCUUGGAGCAGAGGAACAGACAGAUGCUGGAGCAGCUCAAGGAAGAGAUGGAGGCCUCGGAGGAGAGAGAGCGGGCUUCCCUGAAGGCCGAGAAGGAGAGGGCUCUGCAGCAGCUCAGGGAACAGCUGGAGGGCGAGAGGAAAGAAGCAGUGGCAGCACUGGAGAGUGAGCACCGAGCUGAGCUGGAGCGGCUCUCUUCCUCGCUGGAGGCCAAGCACAGAGAGGUUGUCUCCAGCCUCCAGAAGAAGAUGGAGGAGGCCCAGCAGAGGGAGGAGGCCCAGCUGCAGGAGAGCCUUGGUCGGGCAGAGCAGAGGGCUCAUCAGAAGGCUCACCAAGUGUUCCAGUACGAGCAAGAGCUCAGCGACCUCCUGCGAGAGAAGCGCCAGCAGGUGGAGAGGGAACACGAGAGGAAGAUGGACAGGAUGAAGGAGGAGCACCAGCAGGUGCUGGCUGAGGCCAGAGAGCAGUACGAAGCCGAGGAGAGGAAGCAGCGGGCUGAACUCCUGGGACACCUGACCUGUGAGCUGGAGCGCCUUCGAAGGUCGCACGAGCGUGAACUAGAGGCCGUGAGGCAGACGCAGGAUAGGCAGCUGGAGGACUUACGGCGGCGGCACCGGGAGCAGGAAAGGAAACUCCAAAAUUUAGAGGUGGAACUGGAAACCAGAACCAAAGAUGUCAAGGCCCGAUUGGCUCAGCUGGACAUCCAGGUGAGAGAGCGGGAGUUGAGGACAGGAUCUCCAGGUGCCCUUGACCGUGGAGAAGCCACAGCCAACCAUCAUCACCUGGAGGAGGCAAAGAAGGAGCACACCCAUCUGUUGGAGACAAACCAACAGCUCCGAAGAAUUCUCGAUGAACUUCGGGCCCACAAGUUGGAGCUAGAGUCCCAGGUGGAUGUGCUGCAGACCCAGAGGUGGAGGCUGCAGAAACAACUCAGCGACCUGGAGGCUGAAACUCAGAGGAAGCAGGAGGUGUUGAAUGAGCUGGCAGCUAAGGAGAGCAAUGCCUCCUCACGUGUUGAGCCAGAUCUCCACAUUGAGGACCUGAGGAAAUCCCUUGGGACAGUGACAUUCGCUUCCCUCUCCAACCCCUCUGCCCUGGCCUCCCACAGCGUCCGACACUACCUCUCUGCCGAGGGGCUAGCCCUCCGCAGUGCCAAGGAGUUCCUGGUGCGGCAGACGCGCUCCAUGCGGAGGCGGCAGACGGCUCUGAAAGCUGCCCAGCAGCACUGGCGCCAGGAGCUGGCCGGCGCUCAGGAAGCCGCCCAAGAUCCACCGGGCACCAAGGCCCUGGAGGACGUGCGCAAGGACUUGGAGGAGACCCGGCACCUGGAUGAGAUGAAGUCGGCCAUGCGGAAGGGCCACGACCUGCUGAAGAAGAAAGAGGAGAAACUGAAUCAGCUGGAGUCCUCUCUUCUGGAAGAGGCCCCAGAUGAGGACAUUCUGAGAGGCGCCCCCCCCAAGAAGGUGGUGACUUUCGACCUCAGCGACACUGAAGACAUGAGCAGCGCAAGUUCUGAAUCCUGCCCCCUGCCUCACCUCAACCUGACCACAAGCGCCACCUUCCCCAACAAGAUCUACUACUUGAGCAGCUCCCUGCAGCGCAUCAGCAGCCAGCUGAAUGGUGUCCUCAGCAUGCUGGGCAGCCUCAACCCGCAGCCGCCACUGCCUCUCUUCACUUCCACGCCGGCGCACGUCCCGCCCCGGGCCGCUGGGAGCACCUCCAUUCCUGCCUGCCCCUCCCGGCUCUCACCCUCGCCGCUGGCUACACCCUCAUCCACCCAGUGGGCCUGGGACCCGGGGCUGGGCCCCAGGCUCUCCUCCUCCGCGGCUCAAACAGUGGAUGACUUCCUGCUGGAGAAGUGGCGCAAAUAUUUUCCAGCUGGAGUACCGUUCCUCAGCACCGGCCCUGCCCCCCUGGAGAACAGGCUGGGUUAUGUGUCGGCCAGCGAGCAGCUGCGGCUCCUGCAGCGGGCCCAUCCCCAGGUCUCCGAGGUGGGCAGCACCGACGUCCAGGGCCUGAUCGAGGCUAACCGAAAGUGGCUCCAGCCUGGGCCCCGGGGGUCCAAGGACGGCCCCGUUUGGCCUCUGGCCCUUCCCUCUUCUGACUUCCUGCAGCUGGGCCUGGAUGAGAACAAUAGGCUGAAGGUGUAUCACUACUGA